GAUGAACGCUGACAGAAUGCUUAACACAUGCAAGUCGAUGGGGAAGUGGUGCUUGCACCAUGGCAACCAUGGCGGACGGGUGAGUAACGCGUAAGGGACUUACCUGCAGGACUGGGAUAACAGGGGGAAACUCCUGACAAGACCGGAUAAUGUCAUGGAGCUGCAUGGCUUUAUGAUGAAAGGAGACGCCUGCGGAGAGCCUUGCGUCCUAUUAGCUAGUUGGUGAGGUAAUGGCUCACCAAGGCGAAGAUAGGUAGCCGGCCUGAGAGGGUGGACGGCCACAAGGGGACUGAGAUACGUCCCUUACUCCUACGGGAGGCAGCAGUGGGGAAUAUUGGACAAUGGGGGCAACCCUGAUCCAGCAAUUCUGUGUGCACGAAGAAGGUUUUCGGAUUGUAAAGUGCUUUCAGCAGGGAAGAAGUAAGUGACGGUACCUGCAGAAGAAGCGACGGCUAAAUACGUG
rnacentral:rRNA from 1 species